rnacentral:rRNA from 1 species
UGGGGAAUUUUGGACAAUGGGGGAAACCCUGAUCCAGCCAUCCCGCGUGUGCGAUGAAGGCCUUCGGGUUGUAAAGCACUUUUGGCAGGAAAGAAACGUCGCGGGUUAAUACCCCGCGAAACUGACGGUACCUGCAGAAUAAGCACCGGCUAACUACGUGCCAGCAGCCGCGGUAAUACGUAGGGUGCAAGCGUUAAUCGGAAUUACUGGGCGUAAAGCGUGCGCAGGCGGUUCGGAAAGAAAGAUGUGAAAUCCCAGAGCUUAACUUUGGAACUGCAUUUUUAACUACCGGGCUAGAGUGUGUCAGAGGGAGGUGGAAUUCCGCGUGUAGCAGUGAAAUGCGUAGAUAUGCGGAGGAACACCGAUGGCGAAGGCAGCCUCCUGGGAUAACACUGACGCUCAUGCACGAAAGCGUGGGGAGCAAACAGGAUUAGAUACCCUGGUAGUCCACGCCCUAAACGAUGUCAACUAGCUGUUGGGGCCUUCGGGCCUUGGUAGCGCAGCUAACGCGUGAAGUUGACCGCCUGGGGAGUACGGUCGCAAGAUUAAAACUCAAAGG